rnacentral:rRNA from 1 species
UUGGAGGGCAAGUCUGGUGCCAGCAGCCGCGGUAAUUCCAGCUCCAAUAGCGUAUAUUAAAGUUGUUGCAGUUAAAAAGCUCGUAGUUGAAUUUCGGGGUCAGUAGGCUGGUCGUGCCUCAGGUACGUACUGGUCUUACUGAUUCCUCCUUCCUGACGAACCGUAAUGCCAUUAAUUUGGUGUUGCGGGGAAUCUGGACUGUUACUUUGAAAAAAUUAGAGUGUUUAAAGCAGGCUAACGCUUGAAUACAUUAGCAUGGAAUAAUGAAAUAGGACGAUCGAUCCUAUUUUGUUGGUUUCUAGGAUUGACGUAAUGAUUAAUAGGGAUAGUUGGGGGCAUUAGUACUCAAUUGUCAGAGGUGAAAUUCUUGGAUUUAUUGAAGACUAACUACUGCGAAAGCAUUUGCCAAGGAUGUUUUCAUUAAUCAAGAACGAAAGUUAGGGGAUCGAAGACGAUCAGAUACCGUCGUAGUCUUAACCAUAAACUAUGCCGACUAGGGAUCGGAUGAUGUUAAUUUUUUAAUGACUCAUUCGGCGCCUUACGGGAAA